rnacentral:rRNA from 1 species
AGGAUGAACGCUGGCGGCGUGCCUAAUACAUGCAAGUCGAGCGGUAAGGCCACUUCGGUGGUACACGAGCGGCGGACGGCUGAGUAACACGUAGGAACGUACCCCAAAGUGAGGCAUAAGCACCAGAAAUGGUGUCUAAUACCGCAUGUGGCCUAACAGGCUAAAGCUCCGGCGCUUUGGGAACGGCCUGCGCAUGAUUAGCUUGUUGGUGAGGUAAAAGCUCACCAAGGCAGUGAUCAUUAGCUGGUCUGAGAGGAUGACCAGCCAGACUGGGACUGAGAACGGCCCAGACUCCUACGGGAGGCAGCAGUAGGGGAAUUUUCCACAAUGGGCGAAAGCCUGAUGGAGCAACGCCGCGUGCAGGAUGAAGGCUCUAGGGUCGUAAACUGCUUUUAUCUGUGACGAAUAUGACGGUAGCAGAUGAAUAAGGAUCGGCUAACUCCGUGCCAGCAGCCGC